rnacentral:ribozyme from 1 species
UGAAUGCGCAAGGGACUCACCUCCACGUGGUGCACUCCGGGCAACGUAUACUCAUACGGCAAAAAAGUCUAU